CCCCCUCCUCAGCGUCCUCCCGCCGCCCCUCUCCUUCGAUCUGAUCUCCUUCGCACCCCGCCGUCGCCGGCGACUCCUCGGCGCCUCGCCGUCGCCGUCACAUCAGACGCCGGCAACUCCUCCGCGGCCUCACGCUGUCGUCCUCUCCUUCGCAAGGAACACCCGACCCUUCCUCCGCGGCCUUGUGACGCCGACCACUCCUUCGUGGCCUCACGCCGCCCUCCUCUCCCUCCUUCCUUCGUCCAAGGCCAGGACUUCCCCUCCCUGACCCGAUCUGACGGAGAGAGGGCCAAGCCUUGCCACUCCGGUGGUCACUUUGGCCAAAUCCGGUCGGGGAAGCCGUAGAGACUAAACGUCGGCGCAGCAGCAGCAGUCCUUGCGACGGUGGGUGCCGGAGCUCGUCAAGCAACUCGCCGUCGGCGGCCACGACCACCUCAUUCCCUGCCGUGCGUCUCCGUCAACUACUGUGGCAUUGACGACAGCGAGCUAGGAGCCUACGAGGUAGACGCCCUGCUGACUGUGUCGUCAAGGCCUCCACAUGGCUCCUCUUGCGGCAGACUGCUGGUUGUUUGUCAUGUCCUUGAUCACCCUAAUUUAAUCCAAGUCAGGUUUUUGGGAUGAAUUGAUGACAAGGAGAGCACGUUGGAAAUAGUGGAAGUGGAGACGGGAGAGGAUGAUGGGAACGAUCAAGUACAUCACAAUCAUCGGCAUCAUGUGGCUCUCCUACACCAACGCAAUUCAGGUUUGAUAAUUGAUGAGGGUGGGUGCCAUGGUCGUCUAUGCUGGGCUUCUGCACGAUCACAUCUUCCACAUGUUCGGUGCUGGAGUGGCUGAUCUUGUGGAAGGGUUACGUUUUCCUCUUCUCAUGGAUUUUGACCAUUGUUUUAGAGGGAUUCGGAUAAUGGUUCUGUGAUUUAAAUUAUGAUGGCCUGCAUCAUGCCUCCCUAUAUUUAAGGCAAAUGAUAAUGGAAGUACACCUUCAUGAACAAGCUAGCCGAGGUCUUGGAAUUCCAACCUAGGUAAACAAGUGAACUCAUUUAACGGUUUCCCCUUUUCUGGUGAUGCAGGUAUAGCUCAUUCAUUAAGGGCUACUCAGCUUUGUCUUUUUCUCUCUCUUUGGUGAUUGGAUUAUAUGCUACUCUGUGUUGAAGGAUCUGUUCAUGCUAAAUUUAACAAAUCUUGUCAUGUUUUCAUAAAUUAUCUAUUUGAUCACUCUGCGUGGAACAGUAAACAUUUGUAGCAUGAUCAGGGUUUGAUUAUUUUUAGCAGUGCACAUAACUUCAGAAUAUAAACCAAUGGGGCUAUCUUGUUCGUCUUUCUACUUAUGUAUGUAUACAUAUGGGAUGCUUUGUUAGUUCUGUUGUGCAAAUAAUCAUUCUUUGUGUUGAUGAGCUAUGAUAAUGGCUCCCCAAAUUACAAUACUUGCUAAACGUACACUUUGUUGCGAUGAAAUCCUAUUUACAAACAGUAUAUUUUCCUAAUGGAUUGUGAUUAAACUUUGUUGCUUUUACCCACUUUGGUGCUGCUUCAGUGUAUCUGUACUAAAUCGUAAAAUAAGAUGAUUGUAUAUUUUGCUUUACAGUACACCGGUUCAUGAGAAGAAUGCUGAGAAGAUUCAGCUUGCUGUGCUAAAUGUCAUUCUGGCUUGACUCGAUAAUAUCGUGGUAACAUGGUGGAAUAUUUUAUUUUUUAUUGUAACAAACUGUAGUCAAAUUCAUCAGAUAUAUAUACUUCCAGGAUCGGAGGAACAAGUAGUUUUAGCCUUCUGUUUUCGAAUUCUUAGUUUAACAUCUCUGUACUUGUUGAAGCUGUUAUCUCCAACUCUACAUGAGCAUAGUGAUAUGCAGUAUAGAACAUCUCCAUUUUUUUCUUCUUUGGUGAGCAUGGAAUAUCCAAAUUGACAUCUAGAGAUAGAUAAGUUGGUAGGGUAACGUUCACUAGCUUUUUUUAGGAUCAAAAUUGAUGUAUUAAUUUUCUUAUCAAAGGAUGAUUAACGGAAUCGUGGUAUUGCGGCCAAAAUAUACUCUCUUCAGUUUGUUGGUAAUGAGCAAAAUGUAGUCCUACUGGUAAUGGGCUUUGGAUUUGUGCGUGAAAUACAUUGUUGCAUGCAUGUUUCCUAAGUGAAAAAUGUAAUGGUUCUGAAUAUAGCUGGAGAUGAAUUAUUUGCAGCAUCCAAACAACAACAGUGGCAUGGAUACAGUUAACAGUACUAGCAAUUGAUGAUAUUGUCAUAGCAAUUUUAAUUUGGAAAAAAUAUGUGCGAGAUUAGUCUUUUCUUUUCUUUCAUGCAAUGAAGAGAGUACAAAGUAUACUACAAUUUUUUGUAACCCACACAAUGAUUCAAGAAGCAGGGCCAAACAGGACCAAUGAAGACGCGUACAGUACUGUUCUUCAUGAUAUGAUGUUAAUUUUUUCCCGCAAAUGAAUUUAAUAUUUAAUUCUUUGUGAGACAACUACUAAAAUGAAGUAGUUUAUAGGUUUGAAAAUUCCAUGUAUUGUGCAUAUUUUUAUGUGCGUACUUGACUCAGAUGCAAGCUAUUCGCAGUACGUAUAUUCUGAAAGAAAACAUGACGUAGCUGCUGAAUGCUCUCUGAAACGUAGCAUAUUUUUUAAAAUACUCUAUUUGCUUUGAAUGAGGUUGCCUUUUGCUUUAAACAAUUAACUGCAUUCUGAAAUACUUUUAAAUUUGGCUAAGAUUAAGAGAUCUAGCAAAUGAGUCCAAGUCUCAAAACCAGGUGCAUCUUGAGUAUUUCUCCUCCACGGCGGGUGGUCCAUCUCCAUCGUGGAGUGUUGCUAGAUCAACAACAUCUGGUCUAUUUGAAUGGCACAUUACUGUUCCGAGUCUCCAAGAACCAGGUACAUCUCUCUUGUCUUAGCCUCUUCUGAUUAUCCUUCCUGUUAUUAUGUAGGAAGCAGAUUACCAACUUUCCAAGCUCUAUAUUCAGCCGUCCUUUCUGAUUGCUCAUACAAGUUCAAUAUAUGAACAUGCUUGUUACACUUAGUUCUUCCAGUUUCUUGAGAUAACCAUGUCUCAAGUUUUUGAACAGCUACAGUACCUAUACAGUAAGAAUCGAACUGCAAAGGAGCUGAACCCUCUGUUGUUUCAUGACUCCCUUAUGCCCUUGCGAGGAGCGGCCACCAUUGGGCAGGGACAAAGCCGUUGAGCGCCCUUGCUCGGUGGUCCACCACCCUUCUCGCCUCCCGUUCGACGCCUCUUCUCCACACCCCUUCGUUCGAUGUGCUUCGACUCAUGAUGUACCAGAGUGGAGUCAGUAUAGAUAUCAGAGGUGCACAUGGGGUCCUCUUUAGUUUUUUUCCUUAAUUGUUAACCAUCUCCAAUUUUAUGUCAACUCUACUUAUUCCAGUUUCAUAGUUGGAGGUAUCAAUGCAAUGCUUUUUAUGUAUAGAUAAUACAUCAAUUUAUAUCUAUCGCCCUGAAGAAAAUGUACAUUGCUGAUACAAAUAAUCUUUAUUUAGUUUACAAACAUGUAAUGAAAUCUACACUACGAAUAAGAAGACUGAAGUAUAGGACGCGCUCAGGGGUGUGCGGCAGCCCAUGGCGGGCAAGGCGUGCUGCAGUGGGGUUAUGGCAGCAUUAUGGUCAUGAGAGAGCUAGCAUGCUCAUUGGUAUAAAUUAGUUACCCUCAUGUGGGCUUAUUUUUUAUUCUAAGUAUUAACAUGCCUUCAAAAUAAUUCUGUAAUAGGUAUAUAAUUGCAGGUUGUUGUGUGAGCUGCACCUAAACUGAGAACUGAAACUGCAAUGAAUUACUUGAAACUUGGUGUCUUUAUAUUUGCCCCAUUUGUUGAGGUUCAGUUUCACUAAAAUGGACAGACCAUGAGCUCCUUUAGGAACUUGUUGGGAAAUGUCGCUUGUCUGGAGAGGCUGGAAAUACGAAGACAAGUAUGUGUUUGAUUAUUUUGAAGCUAUUUAACAUAUUAGUGGUGUCAACGAGGGUAAGUCCAGGUUCCACAUGUCAAGCUAUAUCAGUUUUUUCGCAAAGAAAUUUCUCUUUAUACAACAAGACAAUACUUAUUUGUGAUUUUGCAUGCCGUCGUGGAAUUCUAGCGAACAUGUCAAUUUGUUCGUGAUUUCGGACGUACAGUAUUUGGGUCCCAUGCACGAGGAGACGUUGAUAAGUUACUUCAGAUAUACAUAUGGACCGAACUAAAUAUGUAUUUAGAGAUUAUAAAAGUGUGUGUUGUUUUGCAAUAGUUUUAACCCACUCAACUGUAUUAUAAAUGUGCAAAAAAAAAUCUGGCCCGGUGGCAAAGCAGAGUAUUUAGCUAGGUGAGCUAUAGACCAGGAGCUGGUGGGCGGCAGGGCAAGCACGCCGCUUCUCCUCUCUGUCUCCAGAGAGGCGCGUGCGUCGAAAAAUGAACAUAUCUGAGCCACGCGCCUUGCUUCUACUGGUUUCUAUAGAGAUUGGCUCGCUUAGAUUUUAGACUAGGCGGUUGCUGUCGAGGUCGCCAAGGUGAUCCUACAACACUGACAUGGGGAUUGUUCAUGAUUCUAUCUGGACAAGCGGUGGUUGUGAUUGGCUGGGUGGUGGUGUUGCCUUGAGGAGAGACAAAGUGAAGGUAAAAGCAAGCAAGAUCCGAUGGUGCUGCCGUGAGGAUAGCCAAAGUCAAGACGUAGACUACGGACUCGUCGCAACGAACCUCGACGCUACGAGCCUGAUUCAUGGACCAAUGGAGGGUCUUGACGCUGUUAGGGUUCGGAUAGGAUGAAUGUGGGAGGUGACGUGCUUGGUUGAGUGCCCCUGGAAGAUUGUGUCCUCCCCGUGGAUCUGUCUGUGGCCAUCGUAGAGGAGAUUGUGGCCCUUCCCCGACGAGCAAGAACAAUGUAGGCGGCAGCAGGAGGUAGGGGUGGAUGCGGGGAUGGAUGUUGAUGGUUGCUCGAGGUUGCGGUGUGGAAAGUCAAGAGCACGAAGUCGAAAUCGGAUAGGAGUUUGAGUUCUUGUUGGCCGUGGCUGGCUCCCCACUUUAGUGAUGUAUUUUUUUCAGUUUGUUGAACCUAGAGUGCCAUUCGCAACAUGUUUCAGGUGACCCAGAAGUUCCCUUUCAUCAGCAGUUACAGAGCAUUCAGAGUUCCGAGCUCUGUCGACGUCGCCAGCCUUGUGAAAUGCCAACUGGUCGUCGCUUCUUUCGGUGCUGACGGGAAACACGUAGAUGUUACUGGACUGCAAUUACCCGGCGUGCUGGAUGACAUGUUUGCAUACACAGGACCGCUCGGUGCGGUUUUCAGCAAGGACUCUGUGAGCCUGCACCUUUGGGCUCCUACAACACAGGAUGUGAGUGUGUGGUUCUUGGAUGGUCCGCCGGCCCUGCUCUAGAGAUGGUGCAGCUCAAGGAGUCAAAUGGUGUUUGGAGUGUUACUUGACCAAGAGAGUGGGAAAACCGAUACUAUUUAUAUGAAGUUGACGUGUAUCAUCCAACUAAGGCACAAAUUCUGAAAUGUUUAGCUGGUGACCUUUAUGCUAGAGGGUAUGUGGCUGUGCGUAUUUCAGUUAUGUAGUUCAGGGAGAGGAACUUUCAGCAGAAGAAAAAAGUUCAGGGAGAGGAAGAAACUAGCUUGUUGUUUAUUUGAUCAGCCUUUCUGCAAAUGGAGCGCGGACCUGGUUGGUUGACAUUAACAAUGAAACAUUGAAGCCCGCUUCCUGGGAUGAAUUGGCCGAUGAGAAGCCAAAACUUGAUUCCUGCUCUGACAUAACCAUCUAAGAAUUGCACAUUCGUGAUUUUAGUGCCCAUGAUGGCACAGUGGACAUUGACUCUCGUGGAGGAUUUCGUGCAUUUGCAUACUAGGCCUCAGCAGGAAUGUUUGACUCAUGUGCAUUUGUUGCCAAGCUUUCAUUUUGCUGGCGUUGACGACAUUAAGAGCAACUGGAAAUUUUUCGAUAAGGAAAUAUUUCUCUUUAUAAAAGGUGAUGAGUGUGAACUAGCAACAUUCCCUCCAGGAUCAGAUAUGCAACAAGCAGCAGUAGUAGCUAUUCAGGAAGAGGACCCUUUUAAUUGGGGGUAUGACUCUGUGCUUUGGAAGGUUCCAAAAGGAAGCUAUGCAAGUGAUUUCAUCAGGAAAGAGAUGCAGACGAGAGGAAGAGAGCCUCCCCCAAGCUCUGUCUAGGCGAUGCACGGGCGACGGCCACCCUUCCUGUUAUUGCCUCCAUGGCUGACUGCUCAUCCCCAGUAACCUCGCCCCCCCCCCCUCACGUGCGCCACACUCUGGGAUUAAGAUUGUCAAUACAUGCUGCAAGAUACUGUUGAGUUAAUUAAUUUCCUCGAGUCAAACGAAAAUAUGGAAACUGUCAAGGAGAUGUCGAAUGAUGAAUAUAUUCAGAUACUAAGAGAGGUUCUAAAAUGUGUUUUGGCAGGUUAGUCCUGAUCGUGCUUAUUUUUAAACCCGAAACAUUCUUUAUCAUUGGAGGGUUCUCUAUAAUCCCAUAAUUGCGAAGUCAAUUGCUUAAUUUGAUUGAGAGUAAUUGAGUUAAUGCACAUGUUUAUUUUUCUAGAUCGUAUCUUAACUGCUUGGACUCUUCAUGUACACUAAAUGUGAAACUCAUUAUGGUUUGGAAGUGCCUGAUAGCUUGUGACAUAAUUGAUGUAGUUUAUCAAUCAUGCAAUUUGUUGUUAGCAACAUGUACAAGAUUUUGGUAAUUUCCAUUUCAAUAUUGUUUUUUGUUUUCAUAUAUCCUAGAUCAUACUAAGAUACUAAGAGAUUCCUUACUGCAUUAACAUUGGCAUCCAUGGUUACUUCUCUGUAUAUAUGAAAAAUGUACAUCCUCUAGCUCUCAUGCGUUUUAGUCGCUCUUUUCUCUUUAUGCUGUAUCACCAAUGGCGCGCGCGCGAGAGAGAGGGAGGGAGAGAGCGAUGGAGAGGGAGAGGGAGAGGGGUCUAAAUGAUUGUAUCCGUACCAGUUUCAUGUUUCCAUGCAUGUCACAUAGAAAACAGUAUCUUCAUGUGGCAAGUAUCUAAUGCAUAUACAUGAGUUAUAUUAUUUAUCGUAUUCACAUACUAAUAUAUUCAUGAUUUUUUUUGCAUUGUAGAGUGCUAGCACGCUACAUUGGAGAGAAAGCGUUGAGAGAAUGCUUUGUUAGGAUGAUAGACAUGAAUAAUCAAUCCUGAAUCCUCAUUCCAAGGUUUUUCAGAUGUUGAUAUUUUAUUCUAUAAUCUUGGUCAAACAUUCGAAUGGUUGACUUGGAGGAUAUCAAUACACCUUAUUUUCUGGAAUGGAGGGAGUAUCAUUCUUGGUGUGACGGACAAAUAGAAAGAAAGGUCCGCAAAGAGUGCACUCACAAAAGCCAUGUACUGUAGGCCAUGAGUGAUUACCUUGAAAGCUUUCUCAUCGAGGCCAUAGUUCCAAACUAUACCAUCCUUUAAGAAACAUUCAAUCAGAAUUGGAGGAAAUGCCAUCCAUUGGGGUUCUGAAGUUCUGAACUUUGAUCUCUCUAUUUGAAUCGUUGUUAUUAUUUUGUCUGUAGGCCAUGAGCAAAUAAUCUGGAGAGUGCCUAAUGUUCCUCAACUUUUCUUAUGUUCCAAAUUCACUAUUAGUGUUGAUCAUCUUCAAAGAACAGAAAACGUAUGACAGGAUUAAGAUUGUAAUUUGUGCUCAUAUUUUUUUCCAAAAUUCACUGCUUGAUUAAUUUUGUUGUAGAAGCUUGAGAGAAAAAGAUAGUAAAUACAUAGUAACUUUAUAUUGAUUUAAGAGUAAUAGCAACACACCUGCUUUUAACUAUAUAUAAAUAUCUCUAUAUUGUUCUAUACUGUCCGUCAGCAAGCGAGCGUUUGAAUUGCUGUUGAUGUGCAUUGUACAUGGGCUUGGCCACUUGGAUCGUGAGACGAGAUCGAUCGACUAGAUGCUUGUUUAUUUGUGUUGUUCUUAAUUUAACUUUGUGGAAGGUUGCGAGCCGAAUGCGUCAUCGACGAGGAGGUGAGUUUGGAUUUGGACGGUGAAGAUGAGAAGAUAGUUGGGGAGGAAGAAGGUAUAAAAUCAACAAUAUCGUCUGGUGUGCGUGAGGAUCCUAAUGGUACAUGUUUGACGCGAUCGUUGCUAACCUAAUAAGAUAUGCGGUGGCACGAGGUGGUGGCAUAAAUGGGGCGGUUGUGCUGGAUGUCCAAGGCUGCACUAGGGAGGUGCGAGCGGUGCCUCCCGCAAGAUUCCAUUGGGGCGACGCAUGGGCGGCAGCCACCCCCAAGACCCUGUUAGCACAAUUUCAUAAUAAUAUAUUUAUACUCCCUGUUGUGCAAAAUAGAACGCUAUUGUUUGUAGUUAUAUUAGUUUAUUUCCUCUAUAUACAAUGACACGUCUUAUUAUGUGUCCAAGAGGAAGGAAAAAUAUAUGUUUCUAGGUGUUAUGUGACUUACCUUUAAAAGGAAUAACUCUAAUAAGAAGUCCUGUUUUA